GCAGUAGCCGCGGUAAAACGUAGGGGGCAAGCGUUAUCCGGAAUUACUGGGUGUAAAGGGAGCGUAGACGGUUAAACAAGUCUGAAGUGAAAUGCCGGGGCUCAACCCCGGAGCUGCUUUGGGAACUGUAGGACUGGAGUGUCGGAGGGGUAAGCGGAAUUCCCAGUGUAGCGGUGAAAUGCGUAGAUAUUGGGAGGAACACCGGCGGCGAAGGCGGCUUACUGGACGACAGCUGACGUUGAGGCUCGAAGGCGUGGGUAGCAAACAGGAUUAGAUACCCCUGUAGUCCCUGUCUCUUAUAC
rnacentral:rRNA from 1 species